rnacentral:rRNA from 1 species
AGUCGAGGGAGAAACCGCAGGUGAGUACACCGGCGAACGGGUGCAUAACACGUGGGCAACCUACCUCAACGACCGGGACAACUGGGCGAAAGCCUUGCUGAUACCGGAUAAGCCCACACUUUCUACGGGAAGAGAGGGAAAAGUCGGCCUCUGUACACAAGCUGACACGAUGAGAUGGGUCCGCAGCCCAUCAGCUAGUUGGCGGGGUAACGGCCCACCAAGGCAACGACGGGUAGCUGGUCUGAAAGGAUGAUCAGCCACACUGGAACUGAGACACGGUCCAGACUCCUACGGGAGGCAGCAGUGGGGAAUCUUGCGCAAUGGGCGAAAGCCUGACGCACCAACGCCGCGUGUGUGAUGAAGGUCUUCGGAUCGUAAAGCACUGUCACGAGGGACGAGAAGCAUUGGGUGAACAAUCCAGUGAUAGGACGGUACCUCGAGAGGAAGCACCGGCUAACUCCGUGCCAGCAGCCGCGGUAAUACAGAGGGUGCGAGCGUUGUUCGGAAUUAUUGGGCGUAAAGCGCUUGUAGGCGGCACGAUAAGUCUACUGUGAAAGCCCUCGGCUCAACCGAGGAAGAGCAGUAGAUACUGUCGAGCUUGAAUGCCGGAGAGGGUCGCGGAAUUCCCGGUGUAGAGGUGAAAUUCGUAGAUAUCGGGAGGAACACCAGUGGCGAAGGCGGCGACCUGGACGGACAUUGACGCUGAGACGCGAAAGCGUGGGGAGCAAACAGGAUUAGAUACCCUGGUAGUCCACGCUGUAAACGAUGGGUGCUAGGUGUGGCGGGUGUUGACCCCUGCCGUGCCGCAGCUAACGCAAUAAGCACCCCGCCUGGGAAGUACGGCCGCAAGGCUAAAACUCAAAGGAAUUGACGGGGGCCCGC